AGAAGAAUCGAAAAUCCCUUUGGGAAACCCUUAAAAUAUAUUCCCAACCAAAUUCGACGAGGGCCGGCUGAGCUGAAGAUGAUGAUGCGGUUCCUACGAAGCACCGUUGCUAACAAGUCUUGUCGCGUGGGGAGGUUGCAGUAUCGUGGUUUUUCAUCCACCGAUGUGACUACCACCACCGUGGGCAAGAAAAUUGUUGAAUAUUGCUAUAAUGGUGUUUUUGGGUGUUGGUUACGUGUUGGGUGGUCUGACAUCACCCCCCGUCUCAAAGCAAGUUCAAGAAGUUGAAGAGAGCCUCAUCAGAGACGAGAAAUUUCUGGAUGAACAAGAAGCCAAUAUUAAGAGUGAGCAGCAUUUGGAUCCUAUAGGCUGAUGUUGCUCUUUGAGAAUCACAGGAGAUCAAGACAAGGAUANAUAUAUAUAUAUAUAUAUAUAUAUAUAUAUAUAUAUAUAUAUUCGGGAUGAGAAUGCAAACACAAUAACUUAUUUUUUGGCAGUACCGAGAAAAGAGUUUGAUGAUGUUGUGUUUCUUCCUUCCAUAGUUGUGUGAGGUGAAGAACUUGUAUGGUUGGUUGCACUACAGGUUUGGGGUUGUAUAGUUACGAGGAAUAUUGUAGCUAUGUACUUAUAUUUGUAACAAUAUUUAGUUUGCUACAAAUUUGUUUCAAAAUUUUUUUUGCGCUUAUAGGGUGGUUGCAAAACAUCGUUUGUGAGAAACCGUAGCAAAUUAGCUAUA